UUCGUAGGUGACCUGCGGAAGGAUCAUUA
rnacentral:rRNA from 9 species